GGGAGUGGCGUGAGAUUUUUUUAGAUUUGAGAGAGAGAGGUAACUGAGUGAUUGAGAGAGACAUGUAGGUAGCUGAGUGAUUGAGAGAGACGUGUUGGUAGCUGAGUGAUUGAGAAAGACGUGUGGGGUGGGUUAUGCAAGCUGUCAAUUUGAAAAAGAAGAGAAUCCUAUGCUAUCUUAUUUUAACAUUAUUAUUCUAAAAACCAUCAUUGUUAUUCAUUUUUAACUAAUAAAUAGGAUUAUUACAAAUAAAAACUUUAAUUAUUUAAUUUGAUAUUUUGAAUAAAGAAAUAAAAUGAUCUGAUUAAAAAUAGAAAUUGGAUAUAAAUUUACUUGAAAAGUUAAAUUGGAAACACU
rnacentral:lncRNA from 1 species